rnacentral:rRNA from 1 species
UGGGGAAUAUUGCACAAUGGGCGAAAGCCUGAUGCAGCAACGCCGCGUGAGUGAUGAAGGCCUUCGGGUUGUAAAGCUCUGUCUUUUGGGACGAUAAUGACGGUACCAAAGGAGGAAGCCACGGCUAACUACGUGCCAGCAGCCGCGGUAAUACGUAGGUGGCGAGCGUUGUCCGGAUUUACUGGGCGUAAAGGAUGCGUAGGCGGAUUUUUAAGUGAGAUGUGAAAACCCUAAGCUUAACUUGGGGACUGCAUUUCAUACUGGAAAUCUAGAGUGCGGGAGAGGAGAAUGGAAUUCCUAGUGUAGCGGUGAAAUGCGUAGAGAUUAGGAAGAACACCAGUGGCGAAGGCGAUUCUCUGGACCGUAACUGACGCUGAGGCAUGAAAGCGUGGGUAGCAAACAGGAUUAGAUACCCUGGUAGUCCACGCCGUAAACGAUGAGUACUAGGUGUAGGAGGUAUCGACCCCUUCUGUGCCGCAGUUAACACAAUAAGUACUCCGCCUGGGAAGUACGAUCGCAAGAUUAAAA